GCCGGCGUAGUCCAACGGCAGAGACCCGGACCUUAGGAGUCCGCCAGUGUGGGUUCGAAUCCCACCGCCGGCA
rnacentral:tRNA from 1 species